rnacentral:snoRNA from 1 species
CCCUCCUACAAAGGCUUGUCUGUGGUUCCCUGUCCUUGGACACGUAAGAACUGGAGGCAAAGAAAUGUGGACAUGGAGAAGUCUGGAGCCAGCUUGUUCCCACAAGCUCAAGACCACCCUUCCUAUACAC